UAUUAGGCUUCGGGGAGUACUGCCAGACUUGGAACCGGGAGAGGUAAGAGGUACUACAGGGGUAGGAGUGAAAUCUUGGUAAAUCCCCGUGUGGGACCCACCUGUGGCGAAGGCGUCUUACCAGAACGGGUUCGACGGUGAGGGACGAAAGCUGGGGGGCACGAACCGGAUUAGAUACCCGGGUAGUCCCAGCCGUAAACGAUGCUCGCUAGGUGUCAGGCAUGGCGCGACCGUGUCUGGUGCCGCAGGGAAGCCGUGAAGCGAGCCACCUGGGAAGUACGGCCGCAAGGCUGAAACUUAAAGGAAUUGGCGGGGGAGCACAACAACGGGUGGAGCCCUGCGGUUUAAUUGGACUCAACGCCGGACAACUCACCGGGGGCGACAGCAAUAUGUAGGCCAAGCUGAAGACUUUGCCUGAAUCGCUGAGGAGAGGUGCAUGG
rnacentral:rRNA from 1 species